rnacentral:rRNA from 1 species
CAGUCGCCGCGGUAAUACGUAGGGUGUGAGCGUUAAUCGGAAUUACUGGGCGUAAAGCGGGCGCAGGCGGUUACUUAAGCAGGAUGUGAAAUCCCCGGGCUCAACCUGGGAAUUGCGUUCUGAACUGGGUGGCUAGAGUGUGUCAGAGGGGGGUAAAAUUCCACGUGUAGCAGUGAAAUGCGUAGAGAUGUGGAGGAAUACCGAUGGCGAAGGCAGCCCCCUGGGAUAGCACUGACGUUCAUGCCCGAAAGCGUGGGUAGCAAACAGGAUUAGAUACCCCCGUAGUCCCUGUCUCUUAUAC